CUACGGGGCGCAGCAGUAAGGAAUAUUGCGCAAUGGAGGAAACUCUGACGCAGCAACGCCGCGUGGGUGAUGACGCUCUAUGGAGUGUAAAGCCCUGUUAGAAGGGAGGAACAGGUUAUAGUAAUGCUGUAAUUUUGACGGUACCUUCAGAGAAAGCCCCGGCUAACUCCGUGCCAGCAGCCGCGGUAAUACGGGGGGGCAAGCGUUGUCCGGAAUCACUGGGCGUAAAGGGCGUGUAGGCGGGAUGGUCAGUUAGAGGUGAAAACCUGCGGCUUAACCGUAGGCCUGCCUUUAAUACUGCCAUUCUGGAGUGCGAGAGGGGAAAGUGGAAUUCUUGGUGUAGCGGUGAAAUGCGUAGAUAUCAAGAAGAACACCGGUAGCGAAGGCUGCUUUCUGGCUCGUAACUGACGCUGAGGCGCGAAAGCGUGGGGAGCAAACAGGAUUAGAUACCCUUGUAGUC
rnacentral:rRNA from 1 species